GAUGAAGGCUUUCGGGUCGUAAAACUCUGUUGUUAGGGAAGAACAAGUACCAGAGUAACUGCUCGUACCUUGACGGUACCUAACCAGAAAGCCACGGCUAACUACGUGCCAGCAGCCGCGGUAAUACUCUGGGCCGACCACCCCCGGUAAUAUAC
rnacentral:rRNA from 1 species